UGGCCUCGGAUCAGGUGGGGAUACCCGCUGAACUUAAGCAUAUCAAUAAGCGGAGGA
rnacentral:rRNA from 1 species